rnacentral:rRNA from 1 species
CCAGCAGCCGCGGUAAUACGUAGGGCGCAAGCGUUGUCCGGAAUUAUUGGGCGUAAAGAGCUCGUAGGCGGUUUGUCGCGUCUGCUGUGAAAGCCCGGGGCUCAACCCCGGGUCUGCAGUGGGUACGGGCAGACUAGAGUGCAGUAGGGGAGACUGGAAUUCCUGGUGUAGCGGUGAAAUGCGCAGAUAUCAGGAGGAACACCGAUGGCGAAGGCAGGUCUCUGGGCUGUUACUGACGCUGAGGAGCGAAAGCAUGGGGAGCGAACAGGAUUAGAUACCCUGGUAGUCCAUGCCGUAAACGUUGGGCACUAGGUGUGGGGGACAUUCCACGUUUUCCGCGCCGUAGCUAACGCAUUAAGUGCCCCGCCUGGGGAGUACGGCCGCAAGGCUAAAACUCAAAGGAAUUGACGGGGGCCCGCACAAGCGGCGGAGCAUGCGGAUUAAUUCGAUGCAACGCGAAGAACCUUACCAAGGCUUGACAUUCACCGGACCGCCCCAGAGAUGGGGUUUCCCUUCGGGGCUGGUGGACAGGUGGUGCAUGGUUGUCGUCAGCUCGUGUCGUGAGAUGUUGGGUUAAGUCCCGCAACGAGCGCAACCCUCGUUCUAUGUUGCCAGCACGUGAUGGUGGGGACUCAUAGGAGACUGCCGGGGUCAACUCGGAGGAAGGUGGGGAUGACGUCAAAUCAUCAUGCCCCUUAUGUCUUGGGCUUCACGCAUGCUACAAUGGCCGGUACAAAGGGUUGCGAUACUGUGAGGUGGAGCUAAUCCCAAAAAGCCGGUCUCAGUUCGGAUUGAGGUCUGCAACUCGACCUCAUGAAGUCGGAGUCGCUAGUAAUCGCAGAUCAGCAACGCUGCGGUGAAUACGUUCCCGGGCCUUGUACACACCGCCCGUCAAGUCACGAAAGUUGGUAACACCCGAAGCCGGUGGCCUAACCCCU